rnacentral:rRNA from 1 species
GACGAACGCUGGCGGCGUGCCUAAUACAUGCAAGUUGAGCGCUGAAGGUUGGUACUUGUACCAACUGGAUGAGCAGCGAACGGGUGAGUAACGCGUGGGGAAUCUGCCUUUGAGCGGGGGACAACAUUUGGAAACGAAUGCUAAUACCGCAUAAAAACUUUAAACACAAGUUUUAAGUUUGAAAGAUGCAAUUGCAUCACUCAAAGAUGAUCCCGCGUUGUAUUAGCUAGUUGGUGAGGUAAAGGCCCACCAAGGCGAUGAUACAUAGCCGACCUGAGAGGGUGAUCGGCCACAUUGGGACUGAGACACGGCCCAAACUCUUACGGGAGGCAGCAGUAGGGAAUCUUCGGCAAUGGACGAAAGUCUGACCGAGCAACGCCGCGUGAGUGAAGAAGGUUUUCGGAUCGUAAAACUCUGUUGGUAGAGAAGAACGUUGGUGAGAGUGGAAAGCUCAUCAAGUGACGGUAACUACCCAGAAAGGGACGGCUAACUACGUG